AAAAUUUGAGAACUAAUAAGGUCUUAGUCAAUGAACAGUAAGAACUAGGGACCGGAUACUAAUUUUUCCUUUUUUUUAGUGUGUAUAAGUAAUGAGUUUGGUUAAAGUUUUACUUUAAUUUUAUUAAUUCUUCGAUGUUAAUUUUAAGGGUCAACUAAAUUGUACAAGAAAUGUCUCACAUGUGUUCCGAACGUCCAAACUUAAAUUAGCAGAAUUAGUAAAUUAUUUAAAAUCGUGAAAAUUCCAACUGAAUUAAAUUAGUAGAACUUCGUCCAAACUACAAUCGUCGCAAUCAUAACUAUACAAUCAAAGGAGAUGCCAGGGAGCUUAGUCCCCCUCCAUACUUAAUGUCUCACAAUCAAGGUAUAAAAUAUCGAUAAUAUCGGAAAUAUCGGUAAUUCAAAAACACGAAAAUUUCGAUGAAAAUAUCGGGAUAUUAUCGAUAUCGAUAAUAAUUGAAUAAAAACCACGAAAAUUAUAAGAAAAACUUGGAAAUUUUUAUUGAAACUUUGCAGGAUGUUUAUUUAGUCAAUUAUCUAUUAGUUUAUCACAAAAAAUUGGAAGGAAAUGCAUUGCAUGAUGGAUAUAACUGAUUUAAGUUGAUUAUAUAGUGAGCUGGCAAACAUUUUGAGUGUAUAAAAUAUGUAGUAGAAGUUUAAACACACCAUAAUCAUUUAUAUAUAAUGAAUUAGUACAAUAUUUUACACUUUAUACAUUGCAUGGUAAGAUACAUGAGUGACUUAGUAAGGUCUAAAAUAUCGAUGAUAUCGGAAAUAUCAGUAGUCCAAAAACACAAAAAUUUCGAUGGAAAUAUCGGGAUAUUAUGGAUAUUUUAGACCAUGCUCACAAUGAAUCACAUAUGCAUUUUGAUGUGAACUAAACAACAAGAAGUUCAUCUAAACUGCUAAAGGAGGGAGGUUAACUCCGAAAUGUGGUGAGCUUGGCCUCAAAACCCGGUAAGUAGCGUUUCUCAGAAAACAACAAAGAUGAUAAUCCAAAUUUUACAUUGUCAUCUUGUGUUUGGUUGAACCGCAGUAAAGUAGAAGCCAUAGUCCAAACUUGAUCUUUCUUCUUUCUCCUAUCAUAGGUCGUUCAUUUCUGCUCAUAAAAUCCCAGACCACAACAAGCACUGCAAUUAUUACCUGGUCCAACUUGAAUUCCCCGAAACUACAAUGUAUGUCAUUUCAAGUAAAUGGUCCUUAGACUCCAGGGUGUGCAAUCACGUAGUCAGAAUUUUUAAAUAAUGGGUCAUAAUAUCAACAAAAAAAUUUCAUAAGGCUAUUUCGUCGAGCACCUAGUAGACACUUGUCGAUUCUUGUUAACAUAUACCGGAGGUUUAUGUCACCAUAUGUCGACAACUAAUAUUACUUGCAGAGGCUUGUUGAGAGUGGAUGCAAGAUACUAUGGAGUAAUUUUGAAGACUACCAAGGUUUUUAAACUAAAGUAUUUCAUAUAAAAAGAGAGAAAAUGAAGACAAAUAUGAUAAAUGAAAAUAGUAGUAAAAGAGGAGGUUGUAAUUUAAUUUGUCUUAGUUGUUAUAGAGGUCAAAUACACUGUACAAACAAAUAUACAUGGGAUUUUUUUAAGUUAUUGGGAUCAAAGACAACCAAUAAAGAAAUCGGAAGUGCUGCCAAAUUAAAAAACUUUGGUCAGUAUAAAAUCACAUGACUAUUCUUAUGUCAUUGUUGAAGAGUGUAUUCUGGUGUGACGAUUGAUCACACACUAAAACAUUAGAUUUUUGUGUAUGUUGUGAAUCAGUGUCACAAUGGUAAUAUUAAUAAUAUGCAUAUUAUUAACUUGUAAUUUUAAAAACAUUAUUUCCCUCUAGGUGUCAGUUAGGGCAUUUUCUUCAAUUGUUAGAUGCGGAAAGAGAUAAAUAUACGAUGCUUCUUCUUGUAGCUAUUAUGUUUCUGGUUAUCACGUACUUACAAUUUUUCAACUAGUAACUUGAAUGGCUAACCGCUUAAAACUUGAUCCUGCAUUUAGCUCGAGGGCUGGCCGAGAACCAGCAGAUCUACAUAUUGGUUUUUCAUGUUCAAAGUUUUAUCACCUUAGUUAAUUAAAAACAUUCAUUUUAUAUUUGAGAUUUCGAGUUUAAUUUUUCAUCCCCUCAUUAUAAUUUAUAAAUAUAAAAGAAGAAAAAAAAAUUACUUUUUAAAGUAAUAUUGAAUUUGUUACAAAAUUCUCUCUUUUGUUGGUUAUGUUUGGAGAAAAUCGAAUUCUAAAUCUAUGCUUAUAUUAACUCAUUAUCUGCAUGUGGUCAAUAUCCUAGUAGAUUGAGUGUUGAGUGUUUUUACCCAUGCGCUUUGAGUUCAAAACUCUAUCAUUCCUUAAAUUAAUGUAAUAGUUUCCCCAUGUUCUUAAUAAUAGUAAAUAAAAAUAAAAUAAAAUAAAAAACUCAUUAUCUCACAAUGUAUCAUAGUUUGGAAUGACCAAAGAGUUUAAUCCAAAAAUACAUAUUUCUAUUUUCUUGGAUUUGCUGCUCUUGUUUUUUCGCAUUAUAUAUUAAGAUUUAACUCCUACAAUUAAAUUACUUAGGGACAACAACCCCCGGAAAGAGCUGGUUAAUUUUACGAAGGCAAAUUGUUUGCCCUCCUGUUUGGAUGCCCUUCCCAUCCCCUCCUAUUUGUACAGUCAUCAUUAAGUUACGUCAAUAUUUUAUAUUCUUAUUGUUUUUUGUUUUAUUAUCUACAUAAAAAAUUAAUAUAAAAUAUUGACGUGACUUAACGGUGACCGCACAAAAUAGUAGGGAAUGGAAAGGGCACCCAAACAGGAGAGCAGACAAUCUGCCUCCUAAUUUCACACCGUCUUACGAAUAUAACUAAACCAAUCAUGAACUGGACUUCAAUUAAUCAUUGAGGCUUUGCUUUGAUUGAUCACUAAGGCUUUGCUUCGAUUUGAUCAUUAAGGCUUCCCAUGACACACCCCGACCGAGAUCGAGGCAUGCUGGCCGACACGUGAGGGUGACGUAGCCAUGUGCACAAUGCGGAAGCAAUAAAUAUAAGAAAUAUACGAAUAAAUAAAAACCAAAAGCUACUAAUGUGCACUAAUAAGUAGAAAGUGCUAGGAGUGAGAUACAAGAGUAAAUACUUCUAAUCAGAGCAUAGAAAGUCUAGGUGCAGUCCAAUAAGACAAGUACUAGUUAUACAGUAC
rnacentral:lncRNA from 1 species